rnacentral:rRNA from 1 species
AGAGUUUGAUCAUGGCUCAGAUUGAACGCUGGCGGCAUGCCUAACACAUGCAAGUCGAACGGUAACAGGACUAGCUUGCUAGUUGCUGACGAGUGGCGGACGGGUGAGUAAUGUAUAGGAACUUGCCUAGUAGUGGGGGACAGCGUGUGGAAACGCACGCUAAUACCGCAUACGCUCUACGGAGGAAAGCAGGGGAUCUUCGGACCUUGCGCUACUAGAUGGGCCUAUAUUGGAUUAGCUAGUUGGUAAGGUAAGAGCUUACCAAGGCGACGAUCCAUGGCUGGUUUGAGAGAAUGAUCAGCCACACUGGGACUGAGACACGGCCCACACUCCUACGGGAGGCAGCAGUGGGGAAUAUUGCACAAUGGAGGAAACUCUGAUGCAGCAAUGCCGCGUGUGUGAAGAAGGCCUUAGGGUUGUAAAGCACUUUCAGACGUGAGGAAAAGUAGACUAUUAAUACUAGUUUGCCCUGACGUUAACGUCAGAAGAAGCACCGGCUAACUCCGUGCCAGCAGCCGCGGUAAUACGGAGGGUGCAAGCGUUAAUCGGAAUUACUGGGCGUAAAGCGCGCGUAGGCGGUCAAAUAAGUCAGAUGUGAAUUCCUGGGCUC